UUUGUGGGGUGCUCGAGUGGCGAACGGGUGAGUAACACGUGAGUAACCUGCCCUUGACUUUGGGAUAACUUCAGGAAACUGGGGCUAAUACCGGAUAGGAGCUCCUGCUGCAUGGUGGGGUUGGAAAGUUUCGGCGGUUGGGGAUGGACUCGCGGCUUAUCAGCUUGUUGGUGGGGUAGUGGCUUACCAAGGCUUUGACGGGUAGCCGGCCUGAGAGGGUGACCGGCCACAUUGGGACUGAGAUACGGCCCAG
rnacentral:rRNA from 1 species